GAGAGGUUAAAGGCACAGUGUUUGGCAGGAUAUGGCCGAGGCCCAGAUGUGUUAACGACUAAACCCUUGAGAAAUUAACAACUGGAUCAUGGAGACUCUGCUGCUACAAGCCAGGGCAGCAAGCACAGAGCAGAGCCGUCCAGGGCAGCAGCAUGCACAGAGCAGAGCCGUCCAGGGGAGCAGUAGUCCAGGGCGGCAGCAGCAGCACACAGAGCAGAGCCAUCUAGGACAGCAGCACACACAGAGCAGAGCCGUCCAGGGCAGCAGCCAGCCAGCAAGCAAGUACAGAGCAGAGCCGUCCAGGGCAGCAGCCAGCCAGCAAGCAAGCAAGCACAGGGAAGUCCAAGGCAGUAGCCAGUAAGCACAGUUUAGGGCAGCACGGCACUCCAGUGUUCAGAACAACAUUUCUGUACAAAAUAAAAUGUAAAAUUAAUAUUCAAAUUUUUUAACCAUAAAAAUGUUUUAAAUAUAGUAAUGACAAAAUGAA